rnacentral:misc_RNA from 1 species
AGGUCUCUCUUCUUCUUCUUCUUUUUCUUCUUGAGCGCCGGCGAAAAAAGUCUCUGUGAGAAAAAGAUACGACGAUUGUCAUUAGAAGAGUCGUAUUACAUGUUUUGUGCUUGAAUCUAAUUCAACAGGCUUUAUGUAAGAGAUUCUUUAACAAUUCCUAUAAUCUUUGUUGUUGGAUUAGAUUCACGCACAAACUCGUAAUCUGUCUUUUCGAUUUUUACCAGAUCUGUC